GGCUGUUAGGCCCAGACCUGGAAAAGGAUGGUGGAAAAAAAUAGGAGGGUGGAGACCUCUUAAGCACCUCUCCACAUUUCCCUCCCCCACUUUCCACAAACCCUUUCUUGCCGGCUACCUGUUCCCCCUCACCUGAGGAAGCGUUGGCACACAAGGUCCAAGCUACCACCAGCGCCCUCCUGACAACACUGGGACACUAUGAAGGAGAAGAGGCAGGACCAACCAGGGCCUGGGAGUCUCAGAUACUGGGGGUGGAAGGAGACGGGCUUGUUAGCACACCAGGUGCAGCUGGGCCUGAGUUCCCCAGGAGGCCGAAACAG
rnacentral:lncRNA from 1 species